CAGACCAACAGCAGCAGCAGCAGCGGCGGCGGCGGCAGCAGCAGCAGCAGCAUUAGCAGCAGCAGCUUCUCUCAAUGCUGAGUAUUGAAUACAGAUAAUCAUGAGGCCCAAGACCCUAAGGAACAGUGCAGCCAGGAGUCGGAAGGAGCCUGGGUUUCUGAAUCAUCACAUGGAGGGGAGCUGUCUUCAGCUGGGAGAGCUGUCUUCAGUUGGAUACUGGAUGGAGUCUCACUCUGUCACCCAGGCUGGAGUGCAGUGGUGCAGUUUCGGCUCACUGCAACCUCCGCCUCCCAGGUUCAAGCCAUUCUCCUGCCUCAGCCUCCCGAGUAGCUGGGAUUACAGGAGGAAGAAAGGGAGCUGGUUAGGAAGCAAACUUGAGUUUCCCAUGCUCUGUGGCUGAGCAAGUCACUUCACCAUUCUCAGGAUGGAAGUGGGGAUGGAGGUGGCAUCGGCCUCAUUUGAACCACAUGGACUAAGAGGGGCUAUGGGAGUAUUCCCCAAAGGAAGACUGAGGGGCGUUACUAGAAAAUGGGAGAAUGGAAGCAGAGUGGGCAAAACCAACAGAUGUUCCCUAUAGUAAAUAAAAAAUUUGGACAAUUAUUAGUGAGCAAGUACUUAUAACAUAUAUGGCACAUGGGAUUGUGACUCACCAGUGUGUUAGCACAAUAUGGUCAAAAACCUCUGAUCCAAUUCAACCUACUCAUCUUAACGAUUUUAUCAGCAUUUAAUAAGUUUGUUUUGGCCAUCAUGUGUUAUAGUUUUGUUUGUGGUUUUGACACCUCAUUAGAGGUUUCAUCAGUGUAAGGAGCCAACCUAAGAGCUCUUCUCACAAGUUUCCCAAGAGAGAAAUUGCCCCUCCAAAUGUGAGGAGUCUCACUUUAUAUAGAUAGCAUCCACACUUCUUGCAGUGGAAAACAAACCUUAUAAAAUGUAAUACGUUUGGUUUCCUAACUUUUUCAUGACCCUGGGGUGGUAGAAGGAAGUGCAAGUUUUAUCACUUGGAUUUAGAGACAAGGAAAUUGAAAUGGAGAGAGAAUUGGGCUCACAUGCAGGCAGCAUGUCUAGCUGCCUCCAUCGUGUGAUCUGAGGCACCCCAUGAGGCCUAUGAUUACUGUAAACCUCUAAAAUAAAUAAAAAAUAAAACAAU
rnacentral:lncRNA from 1 species